rnacentral:rRNA from 1 species
AACGAACGCUGGCGGCAUGCCUAACACAUGCAAGUCGAACGAGACCUUCGGGUCUAGUGGCGCACGGGUGCGUAACGCGUGGGAACCUGCCCUUAGGUUCGGAAUAACUCCCCGAAAGGGGUGCUAAUACCGGAUAAUGUCUUCGGACCAAAGAUUUAUCGCCUUUGGAUGGGCCCGCGUUGGAUUAGCUAGUUGGUAGGGUAAAAGCCUACCAAGGCGACGAUCCAUAGCUGGUCUGAGAGGAUGAUCAGCCACACUGGGACUGAGACGCGGCCCAGACUCCUACGGGAGGCAGCAGUGGGGAAUAUUGGACAAUGGGCGAAAGCCUGAUCCAGCAAUGCCGCGUGAGUGAUGAAGGCAUUAGGGUUGUAAAGCUCUUUUACCCGGGGUGAUAAUGACAGUACCGGGAGAAUAAGCUCCGGCUAACUCCGUG